GAUGAACGCUGGCGGCGUGCCUAAUACAUGCAAGUCGAACAAGGAGCUCUUGUAGCAAUACGAGGGUUUCCUAGUGGCGAACGGGUGAGUAACGCGUUGGUGACCUGCCCCGAAGAGGGGGAUAACAGUUCGAAAGAACUGCUAAUACCCCAUGUGGUCACGAGGGUUAGAGGCCUCGUGUCUAAAGGAGCAAUCCGCUUUGGGAGGGGCCUGCGUCCCAUCAGCUAGUUGGUAGGGUAAUGGCCUACCAAGGCGAAGACGGGUAGGGGGCCUGAGAGGGUGGCCCCCCACAAUGGACCUGAAACACGGUCCAUACACCUACGGGUGGCAGCAGUAGGGAAUAUUGCACAAUGGGCGAAAGCCUGAUGCAGCAACGCCGCGUGCACGAUGAAGGUCUUCGGAUCGUAAAGUGCUUUUCGGGGAGAUGAGAAAGGACAGUAUCCCCGGAAUAAGUCUCGGCUACUACGUGCCAGCAGCCGCAGUAACAC
rnacentral:rRNA from 1 species